GAAUGCUAAAAGAAUGGAAAUUUAAAAAAAAACUUUUUUAAAAAUAAAAAUUGAAUUUUUUUUAAUUUGUGCAAAAACAAUUAUAUUUAUUAAAGACAAGAAGACCCUAAGAAUUUAAGAUUUUACAAUUAAAAAAGUUUUUUUUUUAAAAUCUUGAUUGGGGCGAUCAAAAAAUAUUAAUAACUUUUUAAAAUUUAAAUUGAUCUAUUAUUAAUAAACUAAUGAAUUAAAUACUCUAGGGAUAACAGCGUAAUAAUUUUUGAUAGAUCUUAUUGACAAAAUAGUUUGCGACCUCGAUGUUGGAUUAGGAUUCUUUUUUAAUGAAGAAGUUAAAAAAAGAAGUUUGUUCAACUUUUAAAUUCCUACUUGAUCUGAGUUCAAACCG
rnacentral:rRNA from 1 species